rnacentral:rRNA from 1 species
GUUAUUGAUGAGUUAUUGGAUGAGUUGUCUAGAGCUUGUUGGUUUUCCAAGUUGGACCUUCGAGCAGGUUAUCAUCAGAUCAGGUUGGCCCCUGGGGAAGAACACAAAACAACAUUUCAGACACAUUUUGGCCAUUUUGAAUUUCUGGUGUUGUCCUUUGGUCUUACUGGAGGACCUAAUACAUUCAAUUUUGCCUUGAAUGAGACACUGUCACCCUGUGUCAGGAAAUUUGUGUUGCUUCUCUUUGAUGAUAUCCUCAUAUUUAGUCCUUCUUAUGCACUGCACUUACAAUUUGGAAGAAGUGUUGAAACUGCUCUUACAACAUCAGUGGCAAGUGAAACUGUCAAAAUGUGCUUUUGCACA